UAUAAAGAACCGGUUCUUGUACGAUCACCGAAGUUAAGCAACGUCGAGCCUGGUAAAUACCUAGAUCGGUAACCGCUUGGAAAUACCAGGUGUU